GCUGGCGGCGUGCCUACACAUGCAAGUCGAACGAGAAAGUGGAGCAAUCCAUGAGUAAAGUGGCGACCGGGUGAGUAACACGUGACUAACCUACCUCCGAAUGGGGAAUAACUCCGGGAAACCGGGGCUAAUACCGCAUAACACCGCAAGGUCAAAGCAGCAAUGCGUUUGGAGAGGGGGUCGCGGCUGAUUAGCUAGUUGGCGGGGUAACGGCCCACCAAGGCGAAGAUCGGUAUCCGGCCUGAGAGGGCGCACGGACACACUGGAACUGAAACACGGUCCAGACUCCUACGGGAGGCAGCAGUGGGGAAUUUUGCGCAAUGGGGGAAACCCUGACGCAGCAACGCCGCGUGGAGGAUGAAGCCCUUUGGGGCGUAAACUCCUUUCGACCAAGACGAUAAUGACGGUACUGGUGGAAGAAGCACCGGCUAACUCUGUGCCAGCAGCCGCGGUAAUACAGAGGGUGCGAGCGUUGUUCGGAAUUAUUGGGCGUAAAGGGCGCGUANGCGGUGCGGUAAGUCACCUGUGAAAUCUCCGGGCUUAACUCGGAGCCUGCAGGCGAAACUGCCGUGCUGGAGUAUGGGAGAGGUGCGUGGAAUUCCCGGUGUAGCGGUGAAAUGC
rnacentral:rRNA from 1 species